rnacentral:rRNA from 1 species
UACCUACGGGGGGCAGCAGUGAGGAAUAUUGGUCAAUGGGCGCGAGCCUGAACCAGCCAAGUCGCGUGAGGGAAGACGGUCCUAUGGAUUGUAAACCUCUUUUGUCGGGGAGCAAAAGACGCCACGCGUGGCGUUCCGAGAGUACCCGGAGAAAAAGCAUCGGCUAACUCCGUGCCAGCAGCCGCGGUAAUACGGAGGAUGCGAGCGUUAUCCGGAUUUAUUGGGUUUAAAGGGUGCGCAGGCGGCGUGUCAAGCAAGCGGUAAAAUAGCGGGGCUCAACCCCGUC